rnacentral:sRNA from 1 species
ACGGAAAUGCUAAACACCGGUAUCCCGUUUGGGCUCGGUCGGGACGGGACAAAUUUUUUACCAAUCAUCAGAAAUCAUCACGAGCUUAUCCGAGUCCCACUCCCAAGAGAGACAGAACGUUUCUUGUGCUUAUCCGAGUCCCACUCACAAUUCUCUCACCGUGGGCAUGGCGCGUGAGAUCUCGCUGGCGUCGACGGCGGCGGUGGAGGAGCCGGCGGCGGCACCUGCUCGCGUCCGCCGGCGGCGGCAGCUCCACCUCUUCAGUGUCGCCGCUGAAGUGCACGAGGUCAGUGUGGGAGAGCGGCGUGAGCGUGGUGGUGGCGCCGACGCCAGCGCCCACCGUGUUUUCUUCGGUUGACGGUCUCCAUCAACAGGAGGUUCUUCAUUUUCUUGCUUUAAGCAGUGUCAAGAAAAUCGGUGACAUGAAUUGGUACGAGCACAUAGACGAUACAUCGAUCGAAUCUGAUAUGAACUUAUUCAUGUCCACUCCCUGUACAUAUAUUUGAUCUGGAAGUUGACGGAAGCAAAAAUCGUUUCCCCAUAUAU